UAUAUACAGCCCAUAGCAGUAGAGGCAAAGAAAGGGCAUUACCAGUUAUAUUCAUCAUAAGUAUAGAAGUGACUCAUGUUUGUCUUUUAUGUGCAUGCCUACCAUGAUGGUUAAAGUGAAAGGUAACUCUAAGCACAGUGAGCAGAAUGACAGCGCCCCCGCAGGAGACUGGAAGAAGAUGCACUGGAAGGCAGGGAAGUCAUUCAGAAACACUGCGUGUUAGACUAGAAGAGAAAGAAAAGACAUAAAUAAGAAAGUAUUGAUUCUCCAGAUAUUCACGGCAAGAAACAAGUUGAUAAAACUAUUCAGCUGCAAAGACCUACUACCAUUUAUGAAAAAAGGAUGCUUCAGAAAACAGAGCCUUGAACCAGAGGGCAGAGAUGCAAGCAAGCAGCAUCUGUCACCUAUUAUCAGGAGUCUAAACACUUCUGCCCACUCAUCUUGGUAUCAGAGUCACCAAGGAGAAGACAUCAGUCAAACGCUGGAUGGAACAAUGCUCUGCUCACACAGAAAAGGCAGAGUGAGAUUAGUUUCAGUAGUGUGUGCCAGUGAAUCCUAGGGCCUGCAGAUCACUCCUGGCCGCCAAAGCAGGGCACUUGGCCCGCAUGCACUCCUUUUGUGCUAAAGCAGAAGAACACCACAUCUCCUGUGCAGGGGACAAAUAUAUUAGUGGGACUGGCCAGGUGCCAUAUGACGCACGUGCUUAAGCAGAACAAAGGAGUCCACGUUGAGUCUGAAAUUGAGAAAGAGAUUCCCACACAAGGCAACAAGACCAGCACAAGCUGUAAGAA